rnacentral:rRNA from 1 species
AGUGAGCGGCAAAGCUCAAUUUGAAUCUAGCACCUUCGGUGUUCGAGUUGUAAUUUGAAGAUGGUAACCUUGGGUUUGGCUCUUGUCUAUGUUCCUUGGAACAGGACGUCAUAGAGGGUGAGAAUCCCGUCUGAUGAGAUGCCCAUUCCUAUGUAAGGUGCUAUCGAAGAGUCGAGUUGUUUGU